UCUCUCUCUCCCCGUUCUGCCCCUGGGCCUCCGGCCUCCACUCCUUCUCCUCGCCCAUACCCAUCCAUUGUCUUUAUUUUCUUUCUGGUGGGACUUUUCCUUCUCCUCCCGCCUGCGUGACACGGGGGAGGAGGGGAGGUGGGGUUAGUUGCUCACCUCACCUCACCUGCAUGUGACAUUUACUAUCCUACCACCGCCACCUGGGACGGACAGUUGGCCGGAGGGAAAGGUGCUCGCGAAAUCACACUGUGAUUUUAGGGAUGAUGAUAAUCGUAGGUGUAGGAGCGGUGGAUGGUUUCCACGGUAGGUGGCUGGUCCCGAACCAACCCCCUCCCUGGCCACGGAGAGCCAGCCCAACCCAACCCCCGGGAAAGGACGGGCGCGAGCAUAUAUGAUGGGUAUCCUAUUCCCAUAGGGUCUGUGGCUGUGGCUUUGGCUCUGCUGUUGGGCUCACGGCACCACCUGGAACAGUGCAACCACCACACCUCACCACCCACAACCAUUACUCCAUCCAUCCAGAGAGCCAGAGAGGAGAGGGGCAAUCCCGUCAUCGCACCCCCGCGUCACGUCGUCCUCGCCCGCCGCUCCGUUGCGUUCUGUUGCGUCGUGAUUAAUGCCACGGAACGGACGCCACUUGGCCGACCCAACCGCCCCGGGCCUCCGGAUGCCGAAACGUGUCCCGGGCGGACGGCCGCGAUCGACGGGCUUGCGGCUGAUGCUUCAUGGCCGGUUGCGCGGUUGGGGGUUAGGCGCCAUCCGAUCCCUCGUGCUGUUCCUCUCCCCUUGUAUUUUCUUUAAGAGAAAAAAAAAUAAAACUAGUGUUGUUCCUUUCUUUGUUGCUGCGUCAACGGCCAGACCUCCAACCGCCAGCCGGCUCGGUUCGUGGCCUCGUGGGCUCCUCCCCCUCUUUCGGCCGCGUGCCAUUUUGUGCCCCGUUUGAUCGGCAUCGGAUGAGAAGACCGUGGAAGCAUCUCCGGCACCGGCAGGACAAGUUAACAACCAGAGUAGGCCGUCACCAGAUUCUCACCGACCAAAACCAACUUACUAAAAACUGGGACAAAAACAGAAUACACCUGCCUGCGAUGCUCGGCAAAAAAAAUUACUCCCCUCAGCUCCACUCCACUCAUGCGGUGGCAUCGCAGCAUCCUGGGUGUGAAGCUCGUGAGCCGAAAGCGGAAAGGGAAAAAGGCCAAGCAAAGCAAAGCAAAGCUGUGAUGGGUGUGGUGUGUGCUGCCCUGGGUGGCUAGGCUCAUCCAUGUGACGACCUUUUUAGGCUUUUUACUGCUGAUGA